rnacentral:rRNA from 1 species
GAUGAACGCUGGCGGCGUGCCUAAUACAUGCAAGUCGAGCGAACAGACGAGGAGCUUGCUCCUCUGAUGUUAGCGGCGGACGGGUGAGUAACACGUGGAUAACCUACCUAUAAGACUGGGAUAACUUCGGGAAACCGGAGCUAAUACCGGAUAACAUUUUGAACCGCAUGGUUCUACAGUGAAAGACGGUCUUGCUGUCACUUAUAGAUGGAUCCGCGCCGCAUUAGCUAGUUGGUAAGGUAACGGCUUACCAAGGCAACGAUGCGUAGCCGACCUGAGAGGGUGAUCGGCCACACUGGAACUGAGACACGGUCCAGACUCCUACGGGAGGCAGCAGUAGGGAAUCUUCCGCAAUGGGCGAAAGCCUGACGGAGCAACGCCGCGUGAGUGAAGAAGGUCUUCGGAUCGUAAAACUCUGUUAUUAGGGAAGAACAAAUGUGUAAGUAACUAUGCACGUCUUGACGGUACCUAAUCAGAAAGCCACGGCUAACUACGUG